rnacentral:rRNA from 1 species
CAGUCGCCACGGUAAUACGAAGGGGGCUAGCGUUGCUCGGAAUGACUGGGCGUAAAGGGCGCGUAGGCGGCGGCCAAAGUCAGGCGUGAAAUUCCCGGGCUCAACCUGGGGGCUGCGUUUGAUACUUGGUUGCUUGAGUGGGGAAGAGGGUCGUGGAAUUCCCAGUGUAGAGGUGAAAUUCGUAGAUAUUGGGAAGAACACCGGUGGCGAAGGCGGCGACCUGGUCCUUUGCUGACGCUGAGGCGCGAAAGCGUGGGGAGCAAACAGGAUUAGAUACCCCAGUAGUCCCUGUCUCUUAUAA